AUAUUUCGAAGAUGAAAUUAUUAUUAAUAAAUCUGUUCUUUUCAGCUUAAUAUCUGAAACGCGACUCACCGAGUCGCUUGUAUAUUAAACUGAUUUUUGAACCUAGGCCAUGGAAUAGGGGCUUGCUCCGUCCUGGCCACGGGUUGGCCCUAUAAGGCAGUACUUCCGGGAUCGGCCCACCCCUC
rnacentral:snRNA from 1 species